rnacentral:rRNA from 1 species
AGUGAACGCUGGCGGUAGGCCUAACACAUGCAAGUCGAACGGCAGCACAGUAAGAGCUUGCUCUUACGGGUGGCGAGUGGCGGACGGGUGAGGAAUACAUCGGAAUCUACUUUUUCGUGGGGGAUAACGUAGGGAAACUUACGCUAAUACCGCAUACGACCUACGGGUGAAAGCAGGGGAUCUUCGGACCUUGCGCUAUUGAAUGAGCCGAUGUCGGAUUAGCUAGUUGGCGGGGUAAAGGCCCACCAAGGCGACGCUCCGUAGCUGGUCUGAGAGGAUGAUCAGCCACACUGGAACUGAGACACGGUCCAGACUCCUACGGGAGGCAGCAGUGGGGAAUAUUGGACAAUGGGCGCAAGCCUGAUCCAGCCAUACCGCGUGGGUGAAGAAGGCCUUCGGGUUGUAAAGCCCUUUUGUUGGGAAAGAAAAGCAGCAGGUUAAUACCCCGCUGUUCUGACGGUACCCAAAGAAUAAGCACCGGCUAACUUCGUG